rnacentral:rRNA from 1 species
GACGAACGCUGGCGGCGCGCCUAACACGUGCAAGUCGAACGGAAUCGAGAGGAGCUUGCUUUUCUUGAUUUAGCGGCGAACGGGUGAGUAACGCGUGAGUAACCUGCCCUGGAGUGGGGGACAACAGUUGGAAACGACUGCUAAUACCGCAUAAGCCCACGGUGCCGCAUGGCACUGCGGGAAAAGGAUUUAUUCGCUUCAGGAUGGACUCGGGUCCAAUUAGCUAGUUGGUGAGGUAACGGCCCACCAAGGCGACGAUUGGUAGCCGGACUGAGAGGUUGAACGGCCACAUUGGGACUGAGACACGGCCCAGACUCCUACGGGAGGCAGCAGUGGGGGAUAUUGCACAAUGGGGGAAACCCUGAUGCAGCGACGCCGCGUGGAGGAAGAAGGUUUUCGGAUUGUAAACUCCUGUCGUUAGGGACGAUAAUGACGGUACCUAACAAGAAAGCACCGGCUAACUACGUGCCAGCCGCCGCCGUAA